rnacentral:sRNA from 1 species
AUGGCUGUCGUCAGCUCGUGUCGUGAGAUGUUGGGUUAAGUCCCGCAACGAGCGCAACCCUCGUUCUAUGUUGCCAGCGGGUUAUGCCGGGGACUCAUAGGAGACUGCCGGGGUCAACUCGGAGGAAGGUGGGGAUGACGUCAAAUCAUCAUGCCCCUUAUGUCUUGGGCUUCACGCAUGCUACAAUGGCCAGUACAAAGGGCUGCGAUACCGCAAGGUGGAGCGAAUCCCAAAAAACUGGUCUCAGUUCGGAUUGGGGUCUGCAACUCGACCCCAUGAAGUCGGAGUCGCUAGUAAUCGCAGAUCAGCAACGCUGCGGUGAAUACGUUCCCGGGCCUUGUACACACCGCCCGUCACGCCAUGGAAGCUGUGAGCGCCCGAAGUCGGUGCCGGAACCCGCAAGGGGCCAAGCCGCCUAAGGCGAGCGCAGUGACUGGGGCGAAGUCGUAACAAGGUAGCCGUAGGGGAACCUGCGGCUGGAUCACCUCCUUAACGGAGCAGCGAGUAGGCAGCCUCCCGAGCGCGCAAGCGCGAGGGAUCUGUACGAAAGCGCUUCCGGAAGUCGCUCGUCUCCACACCCGAUCUCACGUUCAGUUCUUCGAGGCCCUUCGCGCGCCGUCGGCGCGCCCAGGGCUUUCAUAGCUGUCUGGCGGGAGCUCCGCAAGGAAACCGGAGCGCUCGCGCAGGGCCACGCUAUUUGACAACGGAAAUGGGUAGUGUUCGUGGGAAAACGAAUCAACACUAGUGACACAAUUUCUGAGCAUCGAAGUUUGUAUCACUCGAAGUAGAUCGCGCGUGCUUUGCGUGACCGAUGUUGUGGUCAAGCAAGCGAAAGCAAGUGGAGGAUGCCUGGGCACACGAAGGCGAUGAAGGCCGUGGUAAGCUGCGAUAAGCUUGGGGGAGCGGCACACACGCGUUGAUCCCAAGAUGGCCGAAUGGGGAAACCCGG